rnacentral:rRNA from 1 species
GAUGAACGCUGGCGGCGUGCCUAAUACAUGCAAGUCGAGCGAACGGACGAGAAGCUUGCUUCUCUGAUGUUAGCGGCGGACGGGUGAGUAACACGUGGAUAACCUACCUAUAAGACUGGGAUAACUUCGGGACACCGGAGCUAAUACCGGAUAAUAUUUUGAACCGCAUGGUUCAAAAGUGAAAGGCGGUCUUGCUGUCACUUAUAGAUGGAUCCGCGCUGCAUUAGCUAGUUGGUAAGGUAACGGCUUACCAAGGCAACGAGGCAUAGCCGACCUGAGAGAGUGAUAGGCCACCCUGGAACUGAGACACGGUCCAGGCUCCUACGAGAGGCAGCAGUAGGGAAUCUUCCGCAAUGGGCGAAAGCCUGACGGAGCAACGCCGCGUGAGUGAUGAAGGUCUUCGGAUCGUAAAACUCUGUUAUUAGGGAAGAACAUAUGUGUAAGUAACUGUGCACAUCUUGACGGUACCUAAUCAGAAAGCCACGGCUAACUACGUG